UGGGGAAUAUUGCGCAAUGGGGGAAACCCUGACGCAGCGACGCCGCGUGCGGGAUGAAGGCCUUCGGGUUGUAAACCGCUUUUGAUUGGGAGCAAGCUUUCGGGUGAGUGUACCUUUCGAAUAAGGACCGGCUAAUUCCGUGCCAGCAGCCGCGGUAAUACGGAAGGUUCGGGCGUUAUCCGGAUUUAUUGGGUUUAAAGGGAGCGUAGGCCGUUUGGUAAGCGUGUUGUGAAAUGUAGGAGCUCAACUUCUAGAUUGCAGCGCGAACUGUCAGACUUGAGUGCGCACAACGUAGGCGGAAUUCUUGGUGUAGCGGUGAAAUGCUUAGAUAUCAUGAAGAACUCCGAUUGCGAAGGCAGCUUACGGGAGCGCAACUGACGCUGAAGCUCGAAGGUGCGGGUAUCGAACAGG
rnacentral:rRNA from 1 species